UACGGAGGGGGGCUAGCGUUGUUCGGAAUUACUGGGCGUAAAGCGCACGUAGGCGGCUUUGUAAGUUAGAGUGAAAGCCCAGGGCUUAACCCUGGAAUUGCCUUUAAGACUGCAUCGCUAGAAUCGUGGAGAGGUGAGUGGAAUUCCGAGUGUAGAGGUGAAAUUCGUAGAUAUUCGGAAGAACACCAGUGGCGAAGGCGGAGACCUGGGCCAAUACUGACGCUGAGGUGCGGAAAAGCGUUGGGGAGCAAACGGG
rnacentral:rRNA from 1 species